rnacentral:rRNA from 1 species
GACGAACGCUGGCGGCGCGCUUAACACAUGCAAGUCGAACGGAAAGGCCUGCUUUCCCUUGUGGAUUGCGGGUACUCGAGUGGCGAACGGGUGAGUAACACGUGAGUGAUCUGCCCCCAACUUGGGUAUAAGCCUGGGAAACUGGGUCUAAUUCCCGAUAGGACUGCAGGGUGGUGCCUGUGGUGGAAAACGAUUUUCUAGUGGUUGGGGAUGAGCUCGCGGCCUAUCAGCUUGUUGGUGGGGUAAUGGCCUACCAAGGCGGCGACGGGUAGCCGGCCUGAGAGGGUGGACGGCCACAUUGGGACUGGGAUACGGCCCAGACUCCUACGGGAGGCAGCAGUGGGGAAUAUUGCACAAUGGGCGGAAGCCUGAUGCAGCGACGCCGCGUGGGGGAUGACGGCCUUCGGGUUGUAAACUCCUUGCGACCGCGAGGAAGCCACCUGGUUGGAAGGGUGGUGACGGUAGUGGUAGAAGAAGCACCGGCUAACUACGU